UCGAGCGGUAGCACAGAGAGCUUGCUCUCGGGUGACGAGCGGCGGACGGGUGAGUAAUGUCUGGGAAACUGCCUGAUGGAGGGGGAUAACUACUGGAAACGGUAGCUAAUACCGCAUAAUGUCGCAAGACCAAAGUGGGGGACCUUCGGGCCUCAUGCCAUCAGAUGUGCCCAGAUGGGAUUAGCUAGUAGGUGGGGUAACGGCUCACCUAGGCGACGAUCCCUAGCUGGUCUGAGAGGAUGACCAGCCACACUGGAACUGAGACACGGUCCAGACUCCUACGGGAGGCAGCAGUGGGGAAUAUUGCACAAUGGGCGCAAGCCUGAUGCAGCCAUGCCGCGUGUAUGAAGAAGGCCUUCGGGUUGUAAAGUACUUUCAGCGGGGAGGAAGGCGAUAAGGUUAAUAACCUUGUCGAUUGACGUUACCCGCAGAAGAAGCACCGGCUAACUCCGUGCCAGCAGCCGCGGUAAUACGGAGGGUGCAAGCGUUAAUCGGAAUUACUGGGCGUAAAGCGCACGCAGGCGGUCUGUCAAGUCGGAUGUGAAAUCCCCGGGCUCAACCUGGGAACUGCAUUCGAAACUGGCAGGCUAGAGUCUUGUAGAGGGGGGUAGAAUUCCAGGUGUAGCGGUGAAAUGCGUAGAGAUCUGGAGGAAUACCGGUGGCGAAGGCGGCCCCCUGGACAAAGACUGACGCUCAGGUGCGAAAGCGUGGGGAGCAAACAGGAUUAGAUACCCUGGUAGUCCACGCCGUAAACGAUGUCGAUUUGGAGGUUGUGCCCUUGAGGCGUGGCUUCCGGAGCUAACGCGUUAAAUCGACCGCCUGGGGAGUACGGCCGCAAGGUUAAAACUCAAAUGAAUUGACGGGGGCCCGCACAAGCGGUGGAGCAUGUGGUUUAAUUCGAUGCAACGCGAAGAACCUUACCUGGUCUUGACAUCCACAGAACUUGCCAGAGAUGGCUUGGUGCCUUCGGGAACUGUGAGACAGGUGCUGCAUGGCUGUCGUCAGCUCGUGUUGUGAAAUGUUGGGUU
rnacentral:rRNA from 2 species